GGAUUCGCUAGUAAUCGCGCAUCAGCCAUGGCGCGGUGAAUACGUUCCCGGGCCUUGUACACACCGCCCGUCAAGCCAUGGGAGCCGGGAGUGCCUGAAGGCCGUGACCGCAAGGAGCGGCCUAAGGUAAAACUGGUGACUGGGGCUAAGUCGUAACAAGGUAUC
rnacentral:rRNA from 1 species